rnacentral:rRNA from 1 species
AAGUAGUUAGCCUAACCGUAAGGAGGGCGAUUACCACGGUAGGAUUCAUGACUGGGGUGAAGUCGUAACAAGGUAGCCGUAUCGGAAGGUGCGGCUGGAUCACCUCCUUUCAGA